CGUGCUUAACACAUGCAAGUCGAACGAAGAGCGAUGGAAGCUUGCUUCUAUCAAUCUUAGUGGCGAACGGGUGAGUAACGCGUAAUCAACCUGCCCUUCAGAGGGGGACAACAGUUGGAAACGACUGCUAAUACCGCAUACGAUCUAAUCUCGGCAUCGAGGAUAGAUGAAAGGUGGCCUCUACAUGUAAGCUAUCACUGAAGGAGGGGAUUGCGUCUGAUUAGCUAGUUGGAGGGGUAACGGCCCACCAAGGCGAUGAUCAGUAGCCGGUCUGAGAGGAUGAACGGCCACAUUGGGACUGAGACACGGCCCAGACUCCUACGGGAGGCAGCAGUGGGGAAUCUUCCGCAAUGGACGAAAGUCUGACGGAGCAACGCCGCGUGAGUGAUGACGGCCUUCGGGUUGUAAAGCUCUGUUAAUCGGGACGAAAGGCCUUCUUGC
rnacentral:rRNA from 1 species